UCUUGACUGGAACAGGAGGAGGAAGAGGUUUAUGAUAUACAGGCGUAGGUGGAGGGAGAGGUUUAUGAUAAACAGGCACAGGUGGAGGAAGAGGUUUCUCAUACACAGGUGUAGGUGGAGGGAGAGGUUUAUGGUAAACAGGCACAGGCGGAGGAAGAGGUUUCUCGUAGACAGGUGUAGGUGGAGGAAGAGGUUUCUCAUAAACAGGUGUAGGAGGAGGGAUAGGUUUUUCAUAGAUAGGCACAGGUGGAGGACAAGGUUUCUUGUAGAUAGGAAUAUGAGGAAAGGGAGGUUUGUAAAUAGGAAUAUGAGAAAAUGGAGGUUUCUUGUAGAUAGGAACAGGAGGAAAAAGAGGGUGUUUAUGGAAAAUCUUUGGUGGAAAUGUUGGAAAAACUUUAGGGGGAAAUUGAGGUAAAUCAGGAUGAGGAAGCUUAGGAAAAAGAGGAUGUUUGAAGAGAGGCCAAAAGAAUUUGGAG
rnacentral:lncRNA from 1 species